rnacentral:rRNA from 1 species
ACAAGCGGUGGAGCAUGUGGUUUAAUUCGUAAGCAACGCGAAGAACCUUACCAGGUCUUGACAUCCCGAUGCUAUUUCUAGAGAUAGAAGUUACUUCGGUACAUCGGUGACAGGUGGUGCAUGGUUGUCGUCAGCUCGUGUCGUGAGAUGUUGGGUUAAGUCCCGCAACGAGCGCAACCCCUAUUGUUAGUUGCCAUCAUUCAGUUGGGCACUCUAGCGAGACUGCCGGUAAUAAACCGGAGGAAGGUGGGGAUGACGUCAAAUCAUCAUGCCCCUUAUGACCUGGGCUACACACGUGCUACAAUGGUUGGUACAACGAGUUGCGAGUCGGUGACGGCGAGCUAAUCUCUUAAAGCCAAUCUCAGUUCGGAUUGUAGGCUGCAACUCGCCUACAUGAAGUCGGAAUCGCUAGUAAUCGCGGAUCAGCACGCCGCGGUGAAUACGUUCCCGGGCCUU